GAUGAACGCUGGCGGCGUGCUUGAUACAUGCAAGUCGAACGCAUCGGCAAAGCCAAGGUGUCCUGGCGGAACCGGAGGGCGAGAAAUCGUUCAAAGGGGACAAAGGGGCAAAGAGGCGGAGCUGGUGAGUGGCGGACGGGUGAGUAACACGUAGGUGAUCUGCCUCAAAGUGGGGGAUAACUGUUCGAAAGGGCAGCUAAUACCGCAUGUGGUCCUUGGGAGACCGAGGAAGAAAGGCGAGAGUCGCUUUGAGAUGAGCCUGCGGCCGAUUAGCUAGUUGGUGAGGUAAAGGCUCACCAAGGCGAAGAUCGGUAGCUGGUCUGAGAGGAUGAUCAGCCACACUGGGAUUGAGAACGGCCCAGACUCCUACGGGAGGCAGCAGUAAGGAAUAUUGCACAAUGGGGGAACCCUGGAUGCAGGCAACGCCGCGUGGGUGAAGAAGGCUUUCGAGUUGUAAAACCCUUUUCUGUGGGAUGAGGAAGGACAGUACCACAGGAAA
rnacentral:rRNA from 1 species